rnacentral:rRNA from 1 species
AACGUAGGACACAAGCGUUAUCCGGAGUUACUGGGCGUAAAGGGCGUGUAGGCGGACGUGUAAGUCUAUUCUGAAAGCUCCUGGCUAAACUGGGAGAGGCGAAUGGAGACUGCAUAUCUAGAGUGAGGAAGAGGAAAGUGGAAUUCCGCGUGUAGUGGUGAAAUGCGUAGAUAUGCGGAGGAACACCGAUGGCGAAGGCAAUCCCUGGGCCUGCACUGACGCUCAUGCACGAAAGCGUGGGGAGCAAACAGG